GACGAACGCUGGCGGCGUGCUUAACACAUGCAAGUCGAACGAAGUGGCGAACGGGUGAGUAACGCGUAAUCAACCUGCCCUUCAGAGGGGGACAACAGUUGGAAACGACUGCUAAUACCGCAUACUGAAGGAGGGGAUUGCGUCUGAUUAGCUAGUUGGAGGGGUAACGGCCCACCAAGGCGAUGAUCAGUAGCCGGUCUGGAAGGAUGAACGGCGACAUUGGGACGGAGAACCGGCCCAGACUCCUACGGGAGGCAGCCGGGGGGAAUUUUACGCAAUGGACGAAAGUCCUACGGAGCAACGCCGCGUGAGUGAUGACGUCCUGCGGGUUGUAAAGCUCUGUUAAUCGGGACGCGGUACCGGAAUAGAAAGCCACGGCUAACUACGUGCCAGCAGCCGCGGUAAUAC
rnacentral:rRNA from 1 species